CCUACGGGAGGCAGCAGUGGGGAAUAUUGCACAAUGGGGGAAACCCUGAUGCAGCGACGCCGCGUGAGUGAAGAAGUAAUUCGUUAUGUAAAGCUCUAUCAGCAGGGAAGAAAAUGACGGUACCUGUGUAAGAAGCACCGGCUAACUACGUGCCAGCAGCCGAGGUACUACGGAGGGGGCAAGCGUUAUCCGGAUUUACUGGGUGUAAAGGGAGCGUAGAGGGCAGUGCAAGUCUGGAGUGAAAGGCGGGGGCUCAACCCCCGGACUGCUCUGGAAACUGUACGGCUGGAGUGCAGGAGAGGUAAGUGGAAUUCGUGGUGUAGCGGUGAAAUGCGUAGAUAUUAGGAGGAACACCAGUGGCGAAGGCAGCUUACGGGACUGUAACUGACGUUGAGGCUCGAAAGCGUGGGGAGCAAACAGGAUUAGAUACCCCUGUAGUC
rnacentral:rRNA from 1 species